UAUGUGAUCGUCUCUCGCAUAUCAAUAAGCGGAGGAAAAGAAACUAACAAGGAUUCCCCUAGUAACGGCGAGUGAAGCGGGAAGAGCUCAAAUUUGAAAUCUUAAAGGGUUUCCCUUUACGAAUUGUAGUUUAAAGAAGUGUUUUCUGUUGAGGUUUUGGUAAAAGUUCUUUGGAAUAGGACAUCAUAGAGGGUGAGAAUCCCGUAUUUGACCUUUACUUUCAACUUUGUGAUACACUUUCAAAGAGUCGGAUUGUUUGGGAAUGCAGUCCAAAAUGGGUGGUAAAUUUCAUCUAAAGCUAAAUAUUGGCGAGAGACCGAUAGCGAACAAGUACCGUGAGGGAAAGAUGAAAAGAACUUUGAAAAGAGAGUUAAACAGUACGUGAAAUUGUCAAAAGGGAAGCGUUUGACACCAGUGUUGUUUUUCUGAAAAUCAAUUAAAGAACUGUUUAUGCUAAGUUGUUUAGACUUUAUCAGCUAACUGUUUAGUUUUGAGCUUUUCUUUAAUGCACUUUUCAGUUAACAAGUCAACAUCAAUUUCUUUUAGCUGUAAAAAAGCUUGAGGAAGGUGGCUUGAGAUUCGUCUUAAGUGUUUAUAGCCUCUUGCCUAUGCAGUCGGAGAGAUUGAGGUCUGCAGCGUAGAUCCUUCGGGGCUAAAUGCAUUUGUGCUAAGUUAUAGCAUUUUAUAGACAACUUGUUGACUAUGAUUUGUCUUGUAGCGUACUCGCUUAUGUUAUUUUACCUACGCUUAGGAUGUUGAAGACUCUACAGAGAUA
rnacentral:rRNA from 1 species